CAUAAUUACAUUUAAGUCCCUCAAGUAUCUAUACGAGAUCUAAAUACGGAGGCCCUAAGUAUGGUACAAACACAAUCCACUCGAUAAACCAUGCAACUUCUCCAAUAUACACUUCUGGGUAUCAUUGGAGGUAAUGCAUAAAUAUUCCACAUUUUCUACACUUUUCGUUUCAAUGUGGUAUCCAUUUAGACGUAUGUCUUUAAAACUUAACAAAUUUCGAAUGGAUCGAGUAGCAUAUAAUGCAUUCUUUAUGGACAAUAUUGUUUCAUUUGGU
rnacentral:lncRNA from 1 species